rnacentral:rRNA from 1 species
GAUGAACGCUGGCGGCGUGCUUAACACAUGCAAGUCGAACGAUGAAGCUCAGCUUGCUGUGUGGAUUAGUGGCGAACGGGUGAGUAACACGUGAGUAACCUGCCCUUAACUCUGGGAUAAGCCGCGGAAACUGGGUCUAUUACCGGAUAGGAGCGUGCACCGCAUGGUGGGUGUUGGAAAGAUUUAUCGGUUUUGGAUGGACUCGCGGCCUAUCAGCUUGUGGGUGGGGUAAUGGCUCACCAAGGCGACGACGGGUAGCCGGCCUGAGAGGGUGACCGGCCACCAUGGGACUGAGACACGGCGCAGACUGCUACGGGAGGCAGCAGUGGGGAAUAUUGCACAAUGGGCGCAAGUCUGAUGCAGCGACGCCGCGUGAGGGAUGACGGCCUUCGGGUUGUAAACAUCUUUCAGUAGGGAAGAAGCGAAAGUGACGGUACCUGCAGAAGAAGCACCGGCUAACUACGUG